GAAACCAACAACAGUGGUUUUCACUUUUCUGGUAACCCCAUAACAAUUAAACAAUGCAACCUGAUGGGAAGGACCGGCAGUGCUAGAUGAAAAGCAGAAGGGAGAAUUUAGAUCCAGAUGGAGAUACUUUACAACUAGCUGAAUUGUGGAUACUAUUGUUGAUGCAAACUAUCAUGAACUGCUGAGGUGGAUUUGGAGGAAGCCGGAAUGGCACAUAUCAAGUCUGAAAGUCUUUUGGGUGUGUGUCAUAGUUGAGAGUUCAAGAAUAAAUUGCAAUAUGACUGGAGAUGGGGUGGGUUAGAUG